rnacentral:tRNA from 1 species
ACCUGGCUGGCUCAAUCAGUGGAGCACGGGACUCUUGAUCUCAGAGUCGUGAGUUCAAACCACAUGCCAGAUG